CUUAUAACAUUUUACACAACCCUAACCCUACAAAAUUUUACCCAGCCGCACCACCCCUCUGCCACCGCUACAACACCUCCAAACCCACCGGAAAAUUCCUUCCACGUAAGCAAUGUUCCCCUCAUGGUCCCUCCUCAUCAUUAGGAUUUGAUUUUACGUGUUUUCUUCCUAUUUUUCAUCUUUGGAUUUACCUCUUUUAGGUGAAAAUAGGAAAAAGGGGUGCGUACGAUUGAGUUGCACUCGAUCUACUCCCUCCAUUUCUCUUGUGUCACCAAUAGAAGAGAUUUUCCGAUUUUUAUUUUGAGGAUUCUUGGAAAUUCGUCGAGGUUUUUCAUAUUUCUUGGGGAGAAAGUCUAGGGUUUUCGAAGCUGGCCUAUAUAUUGAGGCUUUUGAGGUCAGUCUUGUUUUGUUUUUUUUUUGGAUUCAGAGAGAGAGAUCGGAAAAAAGAUUCUAGGGUUCUUGGGCUAAUUUUCGACUUUGCUUUGUAUAAAUUUCAGGAAAAAAAAUCUAUAAAAGAGUUACUUUCUGUCUUCUUCAUCUUGGAAUUCCGAUUUUUGAGUUUUUUUAAAAAACAUGGGUUUCGCUUGAAGAUCCGAGGUUUGGUUUCGAGUUCGUCGCGGUUUGUUGAACGCAGUUCGGGUAUCCGGUCGCGUUUCGCUGCCUCUGUUUGGGAGUUCCAAUUGAAUAUUCUGUCAUGGACUCAUUCAUUGUACAACUUUGUUCAAUUUAGUUAUUAUAGCUGCUGAAAUUUCAUCAACUAGAAAGCAAUUUAAGGUCCAUCUCUCUUCUCUUAUCUCACUGAUUUUUGGUUGGGUCUGAAUAUGAUUUGAGCCUCAACUAGAAGGGAUUCGGGAAUGCGUAAUUUGUUUAGUUCCUAAUUGAGUAUUAAGAGAAAGUAGUUUGACCAAGAUUUGUGAAACUGAUUUUGAGGAAUCAUUCUUUUACACCGAAAUAUGUGUGAAUUCUUUAGUAUUUUUUUUGAGUUAUUCUAAUUAGAAUCUGUUGGAGUAUUUCAAGUUAGAUGUGAUGGGCUUCUCCAAUUAAACUACCACUUUUGCUAAUUAAGUGUGCUUGGCAGCCCAGUGCAACACUUUCAGUUUUUCUUGUGUCUCAAUAUUAACUCGAGAAAUUUAACAUCGUCGAGUAAUGAAAGUUUAAACUCCCUGAUAGUGCUAGAAUUUUAGAUUAGUUUUAAUAUAGAUAAAAUCGUAACGUGAAACUUGAAUUGCUAAAUGAAAUUUAAUUUCUUUAAUGUAAUAAAAAUGGAGAGGUUUU
rnacentral:lncRNA from 1 species